rnacentral:rRNA from 1 species
CCUACGGGUGGCAGCAGUGAGGAAUAUUGGUCAAUGGACGCAAGUCUGAACCAGCCAUGUCGCGUGCAGGAUGACGGCUCUAUGAGUUGUAAACUGCUUUUGUACGAGAGUAAACGCAGAUACGCGUAUCUGUCUGAAAGUAUCGUAAGAAUAAGGAUCGGCUAACUCCGUGCCAGCAGCCGCGGUAAUAAGGAGGAUUCCAGCGUUAUCCGGAUUUAUUGGGUUUAAAGGGUUCGUAGGCGGUCGGAUAAGUUAGGGGUGAAAUCCCGAGGCUCAACGUCCGAACUGCCGUUGAUACUGACCGGCUAGAGAGGAGGUGAGGUAGGCGGAAUGUAUGGUGUAGCGGUGAAAUGCUUAGAGAUCACACAGAACACCGAUUGCGAAGGCAGCAUACCAGGCUACAACUGACGUUGAGGCACGAAAGCGUGGGGAGCAAACAGGAUUAGAUACCCUGGUAGUC